UUUAAUCGCUAAGGCCCAGCAAAGAGGGGCAGGGUGGUGCGGAGGCUGCUGUUGGCAGUGCUGAUCCCGGCACCCAAGGGCCAAGCCCUCCUGCAGAGGACUUGUGCAAAGAGCAAGCGCUGCUCCUGCUGGCUGUGCAAUCCUCUGUCCAAGGUGACUUUAGAUGAGAAGACAGGAUCCUCCUCUGCCUGCACAUCCCUCCCACUCACACACACACACACACACCCCACCACACCACACACACCACCACACCACCACACCACCAUACCACACACACCACACACACACCACACACACACACACCACCACACACACACCACCACACACACACCACCACACACACACACCCACACACCACACACACACCACACACACACACACCACACACACACACCACACACACCCACCACACCACACACACACACACCACACACACACACACACACACACACACACCACCACACACACACACCACACCACACACACCACACACACACACCACCAUACACACACACACACACACACCCCACCACACCACACACACCACAACACACACACCACACACACACCACACACACCCACCACACCCACCACACACACCACACACACCACACACACCCCACACACACCACACCACACCACACACACCACCACCCACACCACACACCACACACACCACACACACACACAUACACACCACACACACACACCACCACACCACACACACACCCACACACACCACACACACCACACACCACACACACACACCACACACACACACACACACACAGCACACACACACAGCACCACACACACACCACCACACACACCACAUCACACACACCACACACACGCACACCACCACACCACACAUACCACACACACACACCACACACACCACACACACACACACCACACACACACCACCACACCACACACACCACACCACACAGACACACCACCACACACACACACACCACACACACACACACAUCACCACACACACACCACCACACCACCACACCACACCACACUCACCACACCACACACACCACACCACACACACAUCACACACACACACACACACCACCACACACACACACACACACACACCACACACACCACACCACACCACACACACCACACACACCACACCACACAGACACACACCACCACACACACCACACCACACAGACACACACCACCACACACACCACAGCACACACACAUCACCACACACACACACACACCACCACACACACACCACCACACCACACACACACACACCACCACACACACCAUAUCAUACACACACAAAACACACAUACACAUCACAUACACACCACACACCACACACACACCCCCCAUACACCACACACAAACAAAACACACGUAUGCAUCACAUACACACCACACACACACAUAUCACAUGCACACCACACACACACUAUACACACCACACGCAUACAUCACACACCACACACACACUCAUACCAUACACUGUACACCACACCACACACAUACGCACACACAUACCUCACACACACAUCACAUGCUUACACACCACACACACACCCUGUCAUACUCAUCUCUCUGAUGCAAGGGCUCAGAUCUGAGAAGGACUGGAGCCCCAGCCUCCCUUCCUCUAAGUUCUCUCUGUUCCUCCCCACAAAGGCUUCUACACCCACCUUUGAUACGAGAGUUCAUUCACCCCCUGACUCCCAACUCUUAGCCACUUUAUUCCCACCCUGGACCACUGGCACCACCUGCCCUUCCUUCUGAAAACCCUGCUGGAAGCCUCCAUUCAACAGAGCAGCACCAUUCUUUCCCAAGCCAGAUAGCCCCCAUAUCUGAACCUGUCUUCAGGGCCGUUCCUGGGAAGUCCCACCAUGGACCACUUAGCAAUUUGAGCCCCGCUGCCAGCCCUUUCCACCAUGGAACCCGAAGAGACUCUCGUGCCUUUGGGAACAUGCAAGCUCUCUUUCCUGACUCAGGGAAGCUUCUAUGGCCUAAAUCAUCGGGUUUCUACAGGCACAAGCCCACCUAGCACGACAAAAAGAGGGGACUAUCAGGCUGAGUUCACUGAAUAAACCCACAGAUAUUCCAGCAAAGAGUACAUCAAAAUAAG
rnacentral:lncRNA from 1 species